AACCGGUUACAAAACCCGGUUACACUACUUUGUCCCCUGAUUUCUCCGUUUCGUGUAAUACAUUAUACAUAUGGAUGGAGUUUGUGUUGAAAUAACGCGGGGCCGAGCGCUACUCUCAAGAGACAACUGGUUUGAUCAUGCAUUGCAUUACACAAAACAAACAUCACAGGCGCCACGGGUAACAUCGAAUUAAACUAAGAUUGAAAGUGGACAUUUUACCCGUAUUUUGAUGCAGUUCUAAUAACGGAAAAUUUUUCACUGAAUAAGGCAAAUACUGUAACUAAUGUAUUCUUCAGAUUUUUUUUUUCUUUUUCUCAAUUUGACAUCCAAAAGAUACAUCCAAAUGACAAACAACAAUUCAUCAAAAGAAGAGCAAAUAAGGGGAAAGGACUGAAAGUAAAGAAUAAUAGCUUGGGAGGAAUGUCUUGUAUCCCUCCACCAAAUUCAUAACAUGAGGAAUUUCCUUAAGCCUUCAGCAACAUAUUUACCAAAAAAUGAUGCUAAA